GCGGCGUGCUUAACACAUGCAAGUCGAACGGUGAACACGGAGCUUGCUCUGUGGGAUCAGUGGCGAACGGGUGAGUAACACGUGAGCAACCUGCCCCUGACUCUGGGAUAAGCGCUGGAAACGGCGUCUAAUACUGGAUAUGUGACGUGACCGCAUGGUCUGCGUCUGGAAAGAAUUUCGGUUGGGGAUGGGCUCGCGGCCUAUCAGCUUGUUGGUGAGGUAAUGGCUCACCAAGGCGUCGACGGGUAGCCGGCCUGAGAGGGUGACCGGCCACACUGGGACUGAGACACGGCCCAGACUCCUACGGGAGGCAGCAGUGGGGAAUAUUGCACAAUGGGCGCAAGCCUGAUGCAGCAACGCCGCGUGAGGGACGACGGCCUUCGGGUUGUAAACCUCUUUUAGCAGGGAAGAAGCGAAAGUGACGGUACCUGCAGAAAAAGCGCCGGCUAACUACGUGCCAGCAGCCGCGGUAAUACGUAGGGCGCAAGCGUUAUCCGGAAUUAUUGGGCGUAAAGAGCUCGUAGGCGGUUUGUCGCGUCUGCUGUGAAAUCCGGAGGCUCAACCUCCGGCCUGCAGUGGGUACGGGCAGACUAGAGUGCGGUAGGGGAGAUUGGAAUUCCUGGUGUAGCGGUGGAAUGCGCAGAUAUCAGGAGGAACACCGAUGGCGAAGGCAGAUCUCUGGGCCGUAACUGACGCUGAGGAGCGAAAGGGUGGGGAGCAAACAGGCUUAGAUACCCUGGUAGUCCACCCCGUAAACGUUGGGAACUAGUUGUGGGGUCCAUUCCACGGAUUCCGUGACGCAGCUAACGCAUUAAGUUCCCCGCCUGGGGAGUACGGCCGCAAGGCUAAAACUCAAAGGAAUUGACGGGGACCCGCACAAGCGGCGGAGCAUGCGGAUUAAUUCGAUGCAACGCGAAGAACCUUACCAAGGCUUGACAUAUACGAGAACGGGCCAGAAAUGGUCAAC
rnacentral:rRNA from 1 species